rnacentral:rRNA from 1 species
AAGUCCCGCAACGAGCGCAACCCCUAUCUCUAGUUGCCAGCGAUUCGGUCGGGGACUCUAGAGAUACUGCCCCGGUUUAACGGGGAGGAAGGUGGGGAUGACGUCAAGUCCUCAUGGCCUUUAUGCCCAGGGCUACACACGUGCUACAAUGGAUGGUACAAAGAGCAGCCAGCUCGCGAGAGUCAGCGAAUCUCAAAAAGCCAUCCUCAGUUCGGAUUGAAGUCUGCAACUCGACUUCAUGAAGCCGGAAUCGCUAGUAAUCGCGGAUCAGCAUGCCGCGGUCGAAUACGUUCCGGGCCUU